rnacentral:rRNA from 1 species
UACAGAGGGUGCAAGCGUUAAUCGGCAUUACUGGGCGUACAGCGCGAGUAGGUGGUUUGUUAAGUUGGCUGUGAAAUCCCCGGGCUCAACCUGGGAACUGCAUUCAAAACUGACAAGCUAGAGUAUGGUAGAGGGUGGUGGAAUUUCCUGUGUAGCGGUGAAAUGCGUAGAUAUAGGAAGGAACACCAGUGGCGAAGGCGACCACCUGGACUGAUACUGACACUGAGGUGCGAAAGCGUGGGGAGCAAACAGG